GAUGAAGAACGUAGUGAAAUGCGAUACGUAAUGUGAAUUGCAGAAUUCAGUGAAUCAUCGAGUCUUUGAACGCACAUUGCGCCCCCUGGUAUUCCGGGGGGCAUGCCUGUCCGAGCGUCAUUGCUGCCCUCAAGCACGGCUUGUGUGUUGGGCCUCCGUCCUCCUCCCGGGGGACGGGCCCGAAAGGCAGCGGCGGCACCGCGUCCGGUCCUCGAGCGUAUGGGGCUUCGUCACCCGCUCUUGUAGGCCCGGCCGGCGCUUGCCGACACAUCAAUCUUUUUUCCAGGUUGACCUCGGAUCAGGUAGGGAUACCCGCUGAACUUAAGCAUAUCAAUGCGGAGGA
rnacentral:misc_RNA from 1 species